rnacentral:lncRNA from 1 species
AAAACUAAAAAAUCAUUUUCAGAAACUAGAAUUAAAAAAAGAAAUAAUGCAAUUGGUCUCAUAUUUUUUUGGAUUAAAAAAGAAAGAGAUAUGAAUUUUUGAAAUAAAAGGAAAUAAAGAAAAUAAAAUGAAUAAAUCAGAAAUGCGAAAAAUCCUAGCGCGUUGGAUCAACCUCAUUAAAUGAGGUGGCACAUCCAAGGAUCCUCAUGCGCGCG